ACAUGAACAUCAGACUAUUUUAUUAAAUGUAUUUUUGAAGCUGCUGUGAAGUGGAAGAAAAUGUUCAGCAACUACUGGGUUGGAAUCAACCCAAGAUGAUGAAUCCUGAAGAUGGGACAAAGUGACAAGGUGGCCUAGAGGAAGCCAGCUGUUUUCAACCCCUACCUUGCCCCAUUCUUCCAAGAGCUCACUGAGUUUGAAUGAAGACCUCUAGUGAGGGGUGAGAAGAGCUGACAAAUCAGAACUGAGGAUGAUUGUUAUGGAGCCCCAUGAGGAACACCUGAUGCUGCGCUGACUUCUCUAGCUGUUCUCCAGUCCAAACUGUCCCGUUGUGUGUUUCAGCGCCUCUAAACCCUGAAUAGUUGCUCUGAUGACCAUGGAUCUAGAAUUGUACCCAAUCUCCAUCUUGGGUACAAUUAACUUCAUCUUCCUCUCUCUCUUUGUCUCACUCUCUCCACCACACAAUAUAGUUUUUAAAUUAGUGUUGGAAUGAUGAUCUUAUUUGGUUACAUAUGUGUUAACAAUUCUUACUUAUAUUGUCAAUUCUGUUGUUGAUUUGUUAAUGUUUUUACCAAUUUGAAUAAAUGUAUUUUACU